GUGGCGGGCCCAUCUAGCCCAGUUGUCGACGAGCACCGCAGGUUGUUCAAUCGACAACUGAGAGUCCAUCCUUACGCGAACAGGCGGCAUAACCGUGUAAGCAGUUCCUCCCACAGAGCACAGAGAAUCCCAGAAAAUAAAGAAAAAACCAUUACCAGAACUUUUGUUUGUAUUGCUGGGCGUGACCA